rnacentral:sRNA from 1 species
UACGUAGCUUCCCGAACGCUUUCCAUGC